rnacentral:rRNA from 1 species
UACGGGGGGAGCAAGCGUUGUUCGGAUUUACUGGGCGUAAAGGGCGCGUAGGCGGCCACUGCAAGUCGGUUGUGAAAUCUCCGGGCUUAACCCGGAAAGGUCAAUCGAUACUGCGGGGCUAGAGUGCGGAAGGGGCAACUGGAAUUCUCGGUGUAGCGGUGAAAUGCGUAGAUAUCGAGAGGAACACCCGCGGCGAAGGCGGGUUGCUGGGCCGACACUGACGCUGAUGCGCGAAAGCCAGGGGAGCGAACGGG